rnacentral:rRNA from 1 species
CAGUAGCCGCGGUAAUACAGAGGGUGCAAGCGUUAAUCGGAAUUACUGGGCGUAAAGCGCGCGUAGGUGGUUUGUUAAGUUGGAUGUGAAAUCCCCGGGCUCAACCUGGGAACUGCAUCCAAAACUGGCAAGCUAGAGUAUGGUAGAGGGUGGUGGAAUUUCCUGUGUAGCGGUGAAAUGCGUUGAGAUCGGAAAGAACACCAACGGCGAAAGCACUCUGCUGGGCCGACACUGACACUGAGAGACGAAAGCUAGGGGAGCAAAUGGGAUUAGAUACCCCUGUAGUCCCUGUCUCUUAUAC